rnacentral:lncRNA from 1 species
UGGGACCACAUCAUUAGCAGUACCUUCAGAACACCAAUCUAUCAAACCAUUGUCGGCCGAUUCAGUAAAUAUUUCUUUUAACAGAUAUUCUUCCGCAAUGGUUUCAACCCAUUCAAGCUCUUUACUUUCUUCAUGAUCACUAGGUUGUUUGCCUAUACUAAAGAUGUUCAGUUCCAAGGUCAUAUUGCCAAAAGAAAGCUUCAUGACACCAUUCCUACAAUUGAUCAAUGCAUUAGAAGUUGCAAGGAAUGGACGUCCUAAGAUGACUGAAAUCUGAGAUGGUGAAUUGGAAGCCGGAUGUGUGUCCAAUACGAUAAAGUCGACAGAAAAAUAGAACUUGUCUACUUGGACCAACACAUCUUCGAUAAUCCCUCUAGGGACCUUCACUGACCUGUCAGCUAAUUGUAAGGUGAUAGUUGUUGGCUUCAACUCACCCAAACCGAGUUGCUCAUAUACCGUAUAUGGCAAUAAGUUCACACUCGCUCCUAAAUCUAGCAAUG